rnacentral:rRNA from 7 species
GGAGUGGGCUGCAAAAGAAGUAGGUAGUUUAACCUUCGGGGGGACGCUUACCACUUUGUGGUUCAUGACUGGGGUGAAGUCGUAACAAGGUAGCGCUAGGGGAACCUGGCGCUGGAUCACCUCCUUAUACGAUGAU